rnacentral:lncRNA from 1 species
ACAUCCAUUGCUUGAAAAAAAAGAGCAACAAAGGCAGCCUCACCCGUUCUGCUUAAUGGAAAAAAUCUAUUGCCUGUGCAGGCAGUGCCUGAGCAUUCCCUGGGAGACUGCUUCCUGGCACAGGUCAAACUGUGCAAGAGACUGUGCUAGAAGUUAAACAGUGUGGAUAACCAUAAUUUAGCGAUGUAACUAAAGGUAUAGUCCUACUUAUCUUAUUAGUAUAGAUGGAGACAUUCAGUUCAUGCAAUCGUUGAUCUGAACCUAUGUGCAGAUACCCAAAGCCAACAGAAAAGGAAGAUGCACCUUUCUGAAAAGCCAGGCUACUGUAAAAUGAGGAACGCAAAAAGAAGUA